rnacentral:rRNA from 1 species
AACGCUAGCUACAGGCUUAACACAUGCAAGUCGAGGGGAAACGACAUCGAAAGCUUGCUUUUGAUGGGCGUCGACCGGCGCACGGGUGAGUAACGCGUAUCCAACUGCCCACCACUUGGGGACAACCUUGCGAAAGUAAGACUAAUACCCAAUGAUAUCUCUAGAAGGCAUCUGAAAGAGAUUAAAGAUUUACCGGUGAUGGAUGGGGAUGCGUCUGAUUAGCUUGUUGGCGGGGUAACGGCCCACCAAGGCAACGAUCAGUAGGGGUUCUGAGAGGAAGGUCCCCCACAUUGGAACUGAGACACGGUCCAAACUCCUACGGGAGGCAGCAGUGAGGAAUAUUGGUCAAUGGACGAGAGUCUGAACCAGCCAAGUAGCGUGCAGGAAGACGGCCCUAUGGGUUGUAAACUGCUUUUAUAAGGGAAUAAAGUGAGAGUCGUGACUCUUUUUGCAUGUACCUUAUGAAUAAGGACCGGCUAAUUCCGUGCCAGCAGCCGCGGUAAUACGGAAGGUCCGGGCGUUAUCCGGAUUUAUUGGGUUUAAAGGGAGCGUAGGCCGGAGAUUAAGCGUGUUGUGAAAUGUAGAUGCUCAACAUCGGAACUGCAGCGCGAACUGGUUUCCUUGAGUACGCACAAAGUGGGCGGAAUUCGUGGUGUAGCGGUGAAAUGCUUAGAUAUCACGAAGAACUCCGAUUG